GAUAAACGCUAGCGACAGGCCUAACACAUGCAAGUCGAGGGGUAUGGCAGCAAUGCCAGAGACCGGCGCACGGGUGAGUAACGCGUAUGCAACCUGCCUGUAACAGGGGGAUAGCUUCCGGAAACGGAAAUUAACACCGCAUAAUACAUAUGUACCGCAUGGUUUGUAUGUUAAACAUUUAUGGGUUACAGAUGGGCAUGCGUGGCAUUAGGUAGUUGGCGGGGUAACGGCCCACCAAGCCUACGAUGCCUAGGGGUUCUGAGAGGAAGGCCCCCCACGCUGGUACAGAGACACGGACCAGACUCCUACGGGAGGCAGCAGUGAGGAAUAUUGGUCAAUGGGCGCAAGCCUGAACCAGCCAUGUCGCGUGCAGGACGACGGCCCUACGGGUUGUAAACUGCUUUUGUACGGGAAGAAAAAAGGGCAUGUAUGCCCUCUUGCCGGUACCGUACGAAUAAGGAUCGGCUAACUCCGUGCCAGCAGCCGCGGUAAGAC
rnacentral:rRNA from 1 species